rnacentral:lncRNA from 1 species
AAUCUUGAUACUAAUUUUAUGAGUGCGGUGUGAGCACACAACACCCACAAACCAAUUUCAGUAAUCUCCGUAAGCCACCUAAGUGCGGUGUGAGCACCCCACUUUAAUAUCUAACCCGCCUAAAAUAUAUAACCAAUGUUUACUCCAUCACACAAUCCUUGUGCUCCAGCUUCUAAUCUUCAACUCAUACAUCAGAUGUAGCAUCAUCUACGACUUGGUUGUUCCUUUAGUAGUUGUAAACAUCUAGAUGCCAAUACCUACAGGAAGUUAAGCUAGGGAUUAGAAAUCUAAGUUCAGUCGCAGCCCACAGGGCCUGGGGGACGGGGAAAGUUUUCGACUGUACCUGAUGUGUUGGCGAUAUUUAAAGGCUCACACAAUCAUCAUUCUGUUUAAAUGGGUUCCCUGGUUCUUAUCAAGGGCAGGUCCUAGCGCGGUAAUCACCUAUGGCAUGGUCAUUCC